rnacentral:tRNA from 2 species
GGGAGCAUAGCUCAGUUGGUUCAGAGCAUCUGCCUUACAAGCAGAGGGUCACAGGUUCGAAUCCUGUUGCUCCCA